AUUGAACGCUGGCGGCAGGCCUAACACAUGCAAGUCGAGCGGCAGCGGGAAAGUAGCUUGCUACUUUUGCCGGCGAGCGGCGGACGGGUGAGUAAUGCCUGGGAAAUUGCCCAGUCGAGGGGGAUAACAGUUGGAAACGACUGCUAAUACCGCAUACGCCCUACGGGGGAAAGCAGGGGACCUUCGGGCCUUGCGCGAUUGGAUAUGCCCAGGUGGGAUUAGCUAGUUGGUGAGGUAAUGGCUCACCAAGGCGACGAUCCCUAGCUGGUCUGAGAGGAUGAUCAGCCACACUGGAACUGAGACACGGUCCAGACGCCUACGGGAGGCAGCAGUGGGGAAUAUUGCACAAUGGGGGAAACCCUGAUGCAGCCAUGCCGCGUGUGUGAAGAAGGCCUUCGGGUUGUAAAGCACUUUCAGCGAGGAGGAAAGGUUGUUGGCUAAUAUCCAACAGCUGUGACGUUACUCGCAGAAGAAGCACCGGCUAACUCCGUGCCAGCCGCCGCAGUAAAAC
rnacentral:rRNA from 1 species